UACGUAGGGUGCAAGCGUUAAUCGGAAUUACUGGGCGUAAAGCGUGCGCAGGCGGUUGUGCAAGACAGAUGUGAAAUCCCCGGGCUUAACCUGGGAAUUGCAUUUGUGACUGCACGGCUAGAGUGUGUCAGAGGGGGGGUAGAAUUCCACGUGUAGCGGUGAAAUGCGUAGAUAUCAAGAGGAACACCUGAGGUGAAGACGGGUUGCUGGGCUGACACUGACGCUGAGGCGCGAAAGCCAGGGGAGCAAACGGG
rnacentral:rRNA from 1 species